CCCAGCUGUGGGCAACAGCCUAGGUUGCAUUAUACCUAGGCAAGGUUACACUACUGGGAGAAAAGAAACUAAUAUCUGGUGGGUAUCCUGGGCCUGGUUAAUGCCAAAUCUGUGUUUAUCAUACCUAGUGUGCGAGCAUA
ensembl:snoRNA SNORA74 Small nucleolar RNA SNORA74